rnacentral:rRNA from 1 species
AGUGAACGCUGGCGGUAGGCCUAACACAUGCAAGUCGAACGGCAGCACAGUAAGAGCUUGCUCUUACGGGUGGCGAGUGGCGGACGGGUGAGGAAUACAUCGGAAUCUACUUUUUCGUGGGGGAGAACGUAGGGAAACUUACGCUAAUACCGCAUACGACCUACGGGUGAAAGCAUGGGAUCUUCGGACCUUGCGCGAUUGAAUGAGCCGAUGUCGGAUUAGCUAGUUGGCGGGGUAAAGGCCCACCAAGGCGACGAUCCGUAGCUGGUCUGAGAGGAUGAUCAGCCACACUGGAACUGAGACACGGUCCAGACUCCUACGGGAGGCAGCAGUGGGGAAUAUUGGACAAAGGGCGCAAGCCUGAUCCAGCCAUACCGCGUGGGUGAAGAAGGCCUUCGGGUUGUAAAGCCCUUUUGUUGGGAAAGAAAAGCAGCAGGUUAAUACCCCGCUGUUCUGACGGUACCCAAAGAAUAAGCACCGGCUAACUUCGUG